rnacentral:lncRNA from 1 species
AAAGCGGAAUUAUUGCCAUAGGGAUGGCUGGAAGUACCCGUACUUGACUCCUCAUAGCUUGCUGAAGCAGAGGAUGAUUCAAUAAUGGGAUUCAGACCAGCCAGCUGCAUGAUGUUUUCAAUCUCUUUCACCACCUCACCCAUUCUAGGUCUAUCAGCUCCUGAUUCUUCAACACAUCUCAGUGCUAGAUCCACAAACUUGUUGAACCCUCCAAGUGUUGUGCCCAGGGUUGGGUCAAGAAGGCCCUGAAGGUUGUAUAGAUCUUUUGUCUUAUCCAUCUCUAUCUUCACCUCUUUUACGAUGUAUUUCCCUCGCUCUAUUGGCUUUCUUGCUGAUAUUAGCUCCAACAUUAGCACUCCAAAGCUGUAAACAUCACUCUUUUCAGUCAAUUGUUGGGACAUGUAAUAUUCCGGAUCCAAAUAGCCCUGCAACAAUGAAGAAAGUUCAACUUCAGUGAAAUUUUUUUAAGCAAUGCUGUUGAAUCUUCAAUGAACUCAAACCUCCAGAAUUGCUGAACUCUCGUUAUUUCUUAAGGUCAUAGACAACAGGCGUUCUUCUUGUUAAAGAAACUAUUAGAUUUGGCUAUGACUUAAACGAUUCUAGAGACCAAGAUCAUGUUCCAUCAUUUCAUCAAAAUAGCAUUCUCCUUCCUUGAGUAAGAGGGUAAGAUGCUGUUCUUACCAUUGUCCCUUUGACUUGAGUGGUAACAUGACCCUUCUCACUGUCAGCCAAAAGCUUGCAGAGACCAAAAUCAGCAACUUUUGCAUUUAAGCGUUCAUCCAAUAAAAUGUUGUUUGAUUUGAUGUCCCUAUGGAUGAUGGGAGGUUCAGCAAGCUCAUGCAGAUAAGCCAGACCUCUGGCUGAACAAAGUGCUACCUUGAGUCUUUUCCUCCAGUCCAACCUGAUUCCUGACUUCCCUGCAUAGGUGGACAUAAACCAGGUAAACUUUGUUAAGCUUGCAUUCAGUAUCCUUUGGUUUUCUUUGAUGCUUUGUGAUGAAUAACAUGACUUCUUUUAUGAUCAGGAAUGGCAUUUGAUUAUUAUAGGGUAUGAAACUGACUUGCCAAUAGGUGUCAGAAUUACUAUUGGAUAGAUAAGGUGAAGAAAUAGAUGGGAAGUACCUGAAAGAGAUUCCUUGAGACUACCAUUGGGGACAAACUCAUAUACCAGCAUCUGUUCACCGUGCUCAAAGCAGAAACCUACAAGGCCGACAACAUUUUUAUGAUGAACUCUUGAUAGAAGCUCAAGUUCAGUUUUGAACUCCAGACCACCCUGCAUUGAUUCCUGUUUAGCUCGUUUGAUAGCAACCAUUUGCCCAGUGGGAAGGAUUCCUCUAUACACCUGUGAACAUGGUAACAACAAAAUGUUCAAAAGAUAACAAUCAGAGCUAGCAUUAAAGACAUCCCUUUCAGAGGGGUCCAAAGCAGACGGGUCUGCCAUCUGCAAUACUUCUACAAAGAAGAAAAGGGUCCAUGUAAAACUAAUUCUGUAGUGAAAAGAGAAUCAGACCUUACCUUCCCAUAGCCUCCAGAUCCAACAUUAUUGGCUUCAGAAAAAUUGUUGGUGCAUUUCUUGAUCUCUUCAAAUGUGAACUGUCUUGCUCCUUUUAACUGAGGAAUACCACCACUGCCUUUUCUCUGAUCCCACUUUGCUGCAUUUGAUGACAAAUGACUCAUAAAUACCAUCCCAUUCAGGAAGAGGGUUAAUUUAGAUCAAGUCUUUUAGUCUUACCAAAAGGAUUGCUCUGUUUAGUAGCUCUUUCUGCUCUCCUCUUUUGAGAAAAAGCAUAAACCCCUGCAAAGAGUAAUAAUAGCGCAAGGAAGGAACCACCUGUUGUUGCUCCAACAAUAAUGCCGGUAUUUGAUGACUUCUUUGCUCCCGGGGGUGAAGGUACCUCUAGAUGAUGAGAGGGAAUAAAUGCAUCACAAUGAGAUGAACAAACUAUGCAGCAAAUUUCUCCUAGUUUGAUAUGAAUAUGUAAUUACCUUCAAAGUGUUGAUACGGAUCAGCAAUGAAGGAGAAUGCUGAAGUUUGGUUGCUGAGAGCAAAGCCAACCAAAAAAAUUCCUGUUCUAUUGAAACGAUCUUGGCCCUGUGGAAAGACUUUCAGGUUAACUUUAAGGUAAUCAUCCACCAUGGUCGAAUUACUCAGGGAAACUGUGUCUACAGGAAGUUGCAGGGACCGAAAAAGUUGCAUCAGGAACUGCUCAAUUGAUUUGUAAUCACUUGAGUCUCCCGAGUUUGAAAAAGAAGGAGCUCUGAAGACAAGGGUUCCUAUGUAUGGAUAAGCACAUGAACAGUUGGGGCCGAGAAUUAAAUCUGAACUACAGAAAGGGAUGAUACAGCUGUGCUUUGGUUGUGUUGAAUAUGAGGAGUUGGGCUGGGCAGGCGUGCAGUAUUUUUCAUUACCUUCAUCCUGACACAUCGGGUUACCUACAAGUCUGCAAAAAAAAAUGAAGAAGUAAACUGAACCGGAUGACAAAUGGUAAUAAGCUAGUAAUAACAUCUGGAGUAUUAUGUCUUACAUUAUCUUAAAUUCAUAUUCUAGUCCUGGUUUAAAUUCACUAAUGUAAUUUUUCUGCAAAUCCACGAGUCGCAGAUGGCUGUUAUAGGCAGAACCAAACUCUAGUGUGCCGGUGAUCUGGUUGUUCCUUAGUUUCCUGUCACCACAUGGUAAAGCAAUGAGCUUAUGAUCAUAAUUUUCAUGAUAUGAAGAUAUGUGAGUUGGUUCUGCUAUGCUAAAAUAUAAGGAAAUCACACAUUUGUCUGGAUUCCUCAGCACCCACUUCAUUGAAAAUAUAGUGCAAGGAACUCAAGGUUAAGCUGAUACUUACACAGUCUGUAAUUGGGGAAGGCUGAAGAGGGCGACAGGAAUAUCUCCCGUAAGUUUUGUGAACUCCAUCGUUCUGCCAGUACAAAAAUAACCAAGGAUUCUGAAUCUUCUCCUUUUAGCUUCUCAUAAAAGGCUUUUAUGCACCCAGGCAUGUGUGUGUGCACACUUUGAGGGAUAGAGAUGACUUACAAUGUUGUCAAAGACAGUAAAGUUGAAAACCAUGAAGGAAAGUCUGACACUUCAAAAUUAUUUUGGCUCAUGUCCCUGCAGAAAACAUUUCGGUCAAAUGGAUUCCUUUCUCAAGAUUUUUGCAGCAUUUCCUUUUCCUUUUCCUCGUUCUUCACAAGAUUCAAAUAGGACUUAAAGCAAUUUCUUUUAGAAGUUGAGAAAAUGCUCCUCCUUGUCACUUACACUAUAGAUGAAGUUGAUAAAAUUAGCUACUUACAGGUAGCUGAGGUGGUUCAUGCCUGUAAGAUUAGGCACAGUGCCAGUCAAAUUAUUGUUGGACAGCAACCUGAAAACGGAUGAUCAAAAGCCUCUUUUAGAAAGUGAAAUUUUUUAAUGCAGGAUAAGACUGACUUCCCUCAAGAAACCAGCUUAGAAACUUUAGUUCUUUGUAUGCUUACAGCUCAGUGAGGCUUGUAAGAUUGUUGAGGUUUGAAGGAACAGGUCCGCUUAAUAAAUUCCUAUCAAGGCGGCUGUAUCCAGGAGAAGGAAUUCAUUACAAAUGCUUCGCAUAAAUACAGAGCACCAGUAAAAAUCAGUAGAGAUAUAUUUGUAUGUGAUGCGGAUGCUUACAUGAUCUCCAAAGUUGUCGCAAGUCCUAGUGUGGGAGGGAUACUGCCAGUAAGAUGGUUGUUGUCAAGAAGCCUGCACAAGAUACUUUAUUAGAGAAGAUAUGCAUUUUUGCCUAACCAGACACUUCUUUAUUUAAGAAUGAGUAUCUCCAAAACCUACGUAUUUGAGUACUGAAAUACUGAAUCUAGUAAAUAGCAGCCUGUUCAGUAGAACUCACAAGUGUAUCAUUGUCAUUUUUGAGCUGAAAAGUUGAGGGGGGAUUGGGCCAGAGAGCCGGUUCUUCCCAAAGUGGCUGUAGACAAUUGACAGAAUGUUAGCUGCUUAAUGAUGUUGAGGCAGUGGAGUGAUCACAAUAAGAAAAGGGUAAUUAAUUAGGUCAGAAAUGCAAAGAGAAUUUACAAAUGUUUCAUUUGGGUGAGCAUAUCCAGACCAGGUGUACCCCCAUUAGAGAUUGGAAUGGUUCCAGUGAUUUGGUUUUCAGUUAUAUCCAGCCAAUUGAGAUUAUAUAGAUUACCAAUGGAAGGCGGUAUGACUCCACUGAAGCUAUUAGAAUUCAGAGAUCUGCAGAGAAUUCAAAUGGAGAUUCAAUUAUACUGGUCAUAUACUAAAUGAAAAUAAUUCAGAGCAUAUUUAUCCACUGUUCCACCAAAACAACAAAAGAAUUCCAUCUCUUACAAAACGACUAGAUUUGUUAGAGAUCCUAUUGUAUCUGGAAUUUGACCAGAGAAACUGCAACCCAUAAGGAUUCUGCAAGGAAGGGCAAAAGAAAUUGGAUGGUUACAAGGAUCAUAACACACAAGCUGGAUAACCAAUGGUCUAACAACAAUCAGAAUUUCCUUACAAGUUUGUUAGGCUCUUUAAACUCCCAAUUGAUGCUGGAAUAUUUCCUGUUAGACCCUUGUUGUAAGAUAGAUCCCUGAAUGAAUAUGAAAGAGCUGAUCACCAGGAAGCAAUCUGAACUAUACUUUGCAGGGAAAACGGAUUAACAGAAACAGCUACCACCAACAGCAGAAUCAUUAUCUAGUGAAGGUAUGAAAUCGUGCUGGACUAGAGAAUUUGUUGAGAAUAGAGGAAAUAUAUGAGUAGAAGACUUACAGAAUCUUUAAUUCAGAUAGCCCCUGGAAAUCUUCAGACAGUUCACCCUUCAAAUCCAUGCUAGCUAAUGUUCUGAAAUUGGAAAUGCAUGGUCAGGUUGAUGUCUAGAAUACAAGGCAAAAUAAGGAAAAUUUCCAUGACCAUUAAAUGAUGAAAACACACAAAGUACUUACAUGGAGAUCACACGUCCAUUGGAGCAACCAAUUCCCUCCCAACCGUUGACACAGGGAUCAGCGCCCACCCAAGUGAACGGGAGGUUCUUCAACAAACUCUUGAGAGCUGUAGCUGCAUCAUCAUGUUUUUUUUUUUUUUUUUUUUAAAUAAAAAUAAUCAAAAUAGAACACAGUGAAAUUGUCAACAGUUCAAUCAACAAAACCCCAAUUACUCCAAAACCAAACACCUUCCAAUCUAUUCCAGAGAGGGAGAAUAAAGAAAGGAAUUAUUGAAAAAAGAAGCAGGUUUAACUCCAGAACUUUGAUUUGUUAUACAAAAAGCAAUAGCACGUGGCCUCUUCUUGGAUAGACCAAGUAAUUUUCAGUUCCCAGUACUCAACCUACAACCCAAAUCUUCAAAAUAGGAGCCUUAACUGGCAUCACCAAAAUCAUAUAUAUGAGCAAGACUACUUGAUCAGAACUCAUGGUGUUUAUGCAUGUCUAAUGAGUUGACAACGUAGACAUCAAAACCUGACCCCCCUGAGCAGACCACUGGUAAUAGGCUGCCAGAAAAAUAUUCUUCUGAGCUAGAUGAAUUGCCAAGCAUAUUUUUUUUUUCAGUUGUUCACUUUCAGAAGGACAUCUCUGCAUGCAUAGACACAUGCAGAACUGGUCUAUACAGUUAUUUUGAAAUCUUUACAGAAUUCUUCAAAACACCUUCUAGCAGCAACUAAACUUAGAACUUGUUUGAUAGUGAUUUUAGGAAGUAUUUCUAGUCUUUCUAUUGCUUCAAAACAACUCUUUUGAUCAAAAUUUUCAAAAGCUAAAAAGGUUAGAUGUGUUUCCUAGAAUCACUGCCAAACGUAUUCUUAAUCAUAAUCAUCCAAAUUGGCGGGCAGUGACCUAUUCAGGAGUUAAAGAACUAGAGGAAACUGAGAGAAUAUUGGAGAGGAGGUGAAAAGGGAGCUAGCUAGCUGUUUUUGAGGCUAAAUAGAAAUAAAAAGCUCUCGUACAGAUAUCAGUGAAAACCUACCUAACUGGCGAGGAAGAAUCAAGUGCAGAAAGUGGAUGUAAGAAUUUAAGUAACCUACCAUCAUCCGUGUUUGUACUUGCCCAUGUAGCCGAAUUAAAUUGGAUGAAAACAAUCAGAAGAGAGACCAGAAUUAAUCUCGAAUCCAUUACUCAACAAAGUGACCAACGAAAGGCCUUGAAACCUUCAUAUGAACGAAACCCAGUUGUCGAAAUAUCCAAGCACUGGAUGAAGAUUUACAUGUGCUUUUCCUUAUCCUUUUUAGUAAGAAAAGUUCAUGGGGGUUGACUCAGUAUAUUUUUCCUGCAACGUCAACACUACGGUUACAAAAUAGCAAGAAAAGAUCAUGUGGAAGAAAGAUGAGUCAGUGGGUGGCAUUCUGUUAUCCGCAAAUUAUCAUGACGUGUUGGUAUAGGCCGUUGUUUGAUUGGUGAUUUUUGUUGAAGAUUAAUGAAGAAAAUAAGCUUUCAGGUCCUUGUCUCAUAAUAAUCCAAAACAACUUUCAACUACAGUGAACUUUCAAAGAGAGUGCAAUUUAAUUUAAUAGCUUUGGAAUUUUCAGCUUUCUGUGGGCCUUUCCUUGGUGUCAAGUUGUUUUCACGGGCUUUUCUUUCCCUUGUGUUUGUGCCCUUGAAACUAUCUUUACUGCCUUCAAGUUGGAGUUGGAGUUGAUGUUGAUGAUGACAUCGCUCUGUUCUGAGCCGCCACUGUUUUAAUUUGAUCUCAAGUACUCGUGGACUUUUCACCAUUCCAAGCGUUUCUUUUCUUUUCUCUUGGGUCAAGCUCAAAACCAGUAAACUAUUGAAUAUCUUUAGGGGUUUUCAUACAACUCAUUACUGAAAACCAUUUUUUGAACCUUCUACGCUUGCGCAAUCUUCCCUUCAUUUUUUUUUAAUUCCAUCUCAAACUGGAAUUUCUGCGUCUCUAGUCAGAUCAAAGACUACAGGAAAGUAACCCCACCUUUUUCCCUACUUCCCGUGAUCCAAACGGCUACAAGCUACGUCAUAAGUGCUAAAAUUAAUCUUAGAAUAAUUUUAAAUCUACAGGUCUCUAAACUUGUUGCGUGUUUAAAAUAACUUUUUAGGUACAUGUACAAGUAAUUCUUUCUUAGAGUGAAUUAGAAAAAUCACUCUUAUAUUUUUACUUAUGUCUAAAUUUUCUUCCUAAACUUUUUUUUUGGAAACAAUCAUGUCAUUGUUAUACUAUGCUCAAAUCUCAAAUAGGCUUUUAUAUUAAGGGCUUUUAUUAGAAUUUAAUGAAAAAAAGUAAAAUUUCAAGAUUGUAAUUUGGGCAGAUUGAGUCCGAUUAAUGGCUAAUAUGAUACCAAUUCAAAUUAAGAAACAAUAAACCUUUCAACUUUAUCCAACCUGAUCUCUAAUUUUAGGCAUUCAACUAAAACUUAAUUUAACCGUAUUUUUCUAAAUUUAGGUUGAUUAAAUUAGAGUUGGAUUAGUUAAAUUAAAUUUGAGUUGAUUGAAACAAAAUUUUAAGAUAAAAAUAAAAAAGCAAUGAUAAAUUUAUAUAAUAUCUUUAUAAAAAAAAUGAAUUAAUAUAUAGUAUAAUUAUAAUUUGAUAUUUUUUCCUAAAAAUCUAACAAGUAAAUGAAAUAAAUAUUAUUACAUUAAUAAUAUAAAAAUAUUAAAUUUGGUUCAGGACUUUUAUGUUAGGUUUGAGUUAUUGAAACCUUGAUUUGAAUUCAACUCAAAUUUAAUUCAAAUUAAAAAGAUUUAACCAAAAUCCGAUUCGAGUAUCAUAAAUAAUUAUCCAAACUCACCUAAAUGUUAGAUUGGAUCAUACCAAUCCAUUAAAGUUGCAUCUUUAGAAAAGGUUAUAUAAUAAUUAUAUUUACAUUUACACGAGCUUUAAUAUGAUUUAUUGAAUGUGUACAAUUUUGUUUACGUAUUAGUCAUAUGAAUUUUUCCACCUAAUUUUUAUGAAAAAUGUUUACAAAAUGAGCAUGGUACAAGAGGGAGUAAAUUGAGACAUGUGUGAAAGUAGAUGGGUAAUUUUUCUAGUUUGCUAUGAGGUAAUUGUUUUGAUGUUUAGUACCUUUCAUAUCAUAUUUGAGAAGGAGUAUGAUUCUUUCUACUUUUCUAAAACACAAAGGCCCAAGUCUUUCAAUUUUUUCGGAGCAUGGAUAAAUUAUAUUGAUGUAGGACCUACAUUCCAAAUUUUGACGCUACUUUUAGCAUGUAGCUCCCAAGUAUGUUUGAAAGAGCUUUCCAAAGUUAAAAAUAGCAUUCAAGAUGAAAGAAGACUGGGAGUCUCACACUCCCAAUAAGUCAUGGAGGGGACCAAUAUUUUCUAUGAAAAGGACAUUUAUAUUUAAUUCAAAAUAUUAAAAUAUUAUAACUCUCUUUAUCUUUAAUAAAUAUUUUUAGAGUUUCAUUUUCAAUCCUAUCAUAGUAAAUACUUCCAAUCAUAGGUGCAGAAAGUUAAAUACUAUCCUAAACAAGUUUAGUGAGAAGAUAAGCUAAAUUUGAAAUCACUCAUGGCUCUUCUGAGGCUCUACCCUACAUAUGAGAUUGUAACUACUGGUGGGGGAUUGUUUUCAGUCGUGUCAACCAGCAAAGAUGUAUGUGUGUAUUUGUAACUAGGAUUUUUUGGAUCUCUAUUAAGCCACCUGCCUAAUAAAACAUCAAGGUUGUUGGAAGUGCUUAAAUGAGGAGAUAAGUAGAUAAGGUAGUGGAUGGACCCAAAUAAAUGGUUAUCUUCGCUAUUUUUUUUGUUGGAGGUUACUGGGCAGCUCUUUUUGGCUAAGUUUUUUUGUGCCUUACUUCAAGAUUGAUCCUGACAAAUCUAUCUCUAGGGCUGUGCGAAAUUUUAGCCAUUGCAUUGAUUCUUUUCUCACUAUUUAAACCCCAAUUGUCGUUUUAGGAAUAAGAGGAACUCGUGUUGAAUUUUGAGUUCCUCUUAUUCCAAGUUGGGUGUAUUUGUUUUCUUAAAAAAAUCCAUCAUAUUUGAACAUCAAAAUUGUUUUUGGUUGGAUUUUCUCUUAAAAUAUGAGUUGAUGUAUUUAGUUCUUUCAUCCCAUCUCUCGUUGUCGUUGUUGUUGUUGUUGUUGUUGUUGUUAUUGUUAUUAUUGGAUUGAGGUAUAACUCAUCCUGUUCUUCAUUGAAAGUUAACUAAAAUUAAGUCUGAUGUUAACUUGAAGCGUGCUUUGAAAGAAGAAGACUGGUAGCCAAGGAUAGAAGUUGUUAGUCAAAUCAUCAAGGAAGGAUAGGUGAAAUUGGAUUAAAUGAAAUUUUAUACUUAGUUGUCUUCAUAAUGAACGUUUUGAUUGGGUGUAUGUUGUGUUUUUUUUCAAAAAAAAAUAUUGGUAGCUAAAAUCAAGUCUAAUGUUAACUUGAAGUGUGCUUUGAAAGAAGAAGACUGGUAGCCAAGGGUAGAAGUUGUUAGUCAAAUCAUCAAGGAAUGAUCGGUGAAAUUGGAUUAAAUGAAAUUUUGUACUUAGUUGUCUUCAUAAUGAACGUUUUGAUUGGGUGUAGGUUGUGUUUUUUUUCUUAAUCUUUUAAAAAAAAAGAAGAUUGGUAGCUAAAAUGAUUGAAUGUAGUCCUAGCUGAUGCUACAGUAAUGGAAGUUUGGGCCCUUUUUGCACAGAGCCCCACUUAACAUUCCUAAAUUAAAGCUAUCAUGAAGCAUUAACACAAAAAGAUAACAUACCAAUGACUUGGUGAGAUAUAUUCAUAUCGCAUCGAUAUAUCAAAACAGAAAUUUUACCUCAAAACAGGAAAAUUCAGCCACCUCUUCACAUGGAAAAUAGGUAUCCUACAAUUACUUCCUUGGCAUGAAAAGCAACUACGUACUCUCUGCAGAGGGCAUGCAAACCACAAGCUUAACCAAGGAUUUCUGCAACAAUACGAUGAAUUUCCUUCAUAUAUUUGAGGCUCUUCCUUUUCAUUUACUCACAGGGUAUCAUACUGGAAUUGCACGCCUUCCAUCAUAUAUACAAUCCAUGUAGUCAGUGUUGUUCUCACCAUAUGAUACAAACAUCAAGAAGGCUCGACAAACAUUACAAGUUCCACACAAAUUCAGGCAGGCAAGAAACAUAAAAUGUCACCUGUGCUCACUUGGGCUCUACUGUGGAAGGUGGAUAGCCCGCACUACUAUCAAAGGCGGAAUUACUGCCAUAGGGAUGGCUGGAAGUACCCGUACUUGACUCCUCAUAGCUUGCUGAAGCAGAGGAUGAUUCAGUAAUGGGAUUCAGACCAGCCAGCUGCAUGAUGUUUUCAAUCUCUUUCACCACCUCACCCAUUGUAGGUCUAUCAGCUCCUGAUUCUUCAACACAUCUCAGUGCUAGAUCCACAAACUUGUUGAACCCUCCAAGUGUUGUGCCCAGGGUUGGGUCAAGAAGGCCCUGAAGGUUGUAUAGAUCUUUUGUCUUAUCCAUCGCUAUCUUCACCUCUUUUACGAUGUAUUUCCCUCGCUCUAUCGGCUUUCUUGCUGAUAUUAGCUCCAACAUUAGCACUCCAAAGCUGUAAACAUCACUCUUUUCAGUCAACUGUUGGGACAUGUAAUAUUCCGGAUCCAUAUAGCCCUGCAACAAUGAAACAAGUUCAAUUUCAGUGAAAUUUUUUUAAGCAAUGCUGUUGAAUCUUCAAUGAACUCAAACCUCCAGAAUUGC